rnacentral:rRNA from 1 species
AUACAUGCAAGUCGAGGGAGAUUCUUUUUUCGAAAGGAUGAACCGGCGAACGGGUGAGUAACGCGUACACUACCUACCUUAUACUGAGGAAUAGCCUUUGGAAACGAAGAUUAAUACCUCAUAGUCUCGUAAGAGUAAAGCUCCGGCGGUAUAAGAUGGGUGUGCGUCUGAUUAGCUUGUUGGUAAGGUAAUGGCUUACCAAGGCGACGAUCAGUAGGGGGCGUGAGAGCGUGAUCCCCCACACGGGUACUGAG